ACGUUGUGUUGCCGCCAUCCGAGACCAAACAACGAGCUAAGCAUGUAGUGCCGGGCAUGGAGCAUCUUCGGACGGGGGUUCGAUUCCCCCCACCUCCACCA
rnacentral:tmRNA from 1 species